UGAACGCUGGCGGCAGGCCUAACACAUGCAAGUCGAACGGUAACAGGAAGCAGCUUGCUGCUUCGCUGACGAGUGGCGGACGGGUGAGUAAUGUCUGGGAAACUGCCUGAUGGAGGGGGAUAACUACUGGAAACGGUAGCUAAUACCGCAUAACGUCGCAAGACCAAAGAGGGGGACCUUCGGGCCUCUUGCCAUCGGAUGUGCCCAGAUGGGAUUAGCUAGUAGGUGGGGUAACGGCUCACCUAGGCGACGAUCCCUAGCUGGUCUGAGAGGAUGACCAGCCACACUGGAACUGAGACACGGUCCAGACUCCUACGGGAGGCAGCAGUGGGGAAUAUUGCACAAUGGGCGCAAGCCUGAUGCAGCCAUGCCGCGUGUAUGAAGAAGGCCUUCGGGUUGUAAAGUACUUUCAGCGGGGAGGAAGGUGUUGAGGUUAAUAACCUCAGCAAUUGACGUUACCCGCAGAAGAAGCACCGGCUAACUCCGUGCCAGCAGCCGCGGUAAUACGGAGGGUGCAAGCGUUAAUCGGAAUUACUGGGCGUAAAGCGCACGCAGGCGGUCUGUCAAGUCGGAUGUGAAAUCCCCGGGCUCAACCUGGGAACUGCAUUCGAAACUGGCAGGCUAGAGUCUUGUAGAGGGGGGUAGAAUUCCGGGUGUAGCGGUGAAAUGCGUAGAGAUCUGGAGGAAUACCGGUGGCGAAGGCGGCCCCCUGGACAAAGACUGACGCUCAGGUGCGAAAGCGUGGGGAGCAAACAGGAUUUAGAUACCCUGGUAGUCCACGCCCGUAAACGAUGUCGACUUGGAGGUUGUGCCCUUGAGGCGUGGCUUCCGGAGCUAACGCGUUAAGUCGACCGCCUGGGGAGUACGGCCGCAAGGUUAAAACUCAAAUGAAUUGACGGGGGCCCGCACAAGCGGUGGAGCAUGUGGUUUAAUUCGAUGCAACGCGAAGAACCUUACCUACUCUUGACAUCCAGAGAACUUUCCAGAGAUGGAUUGGUGCCUUCGGGAACUCUGAGACAGGUGCUGCAUGGCUGUCGUCAGCUCGUGUUGUGAAAUGUUGGGUUAAGUCCCGCAACGAGCGCAACCCUUAUCCUUUGUUGCCAGCGGUUAGGCCGGGAACUCAAAGGAGACUGCCAGUGAUAAACUGGAGGAAGGUGGGGAUGACGUCAAGUCAUCAUGGCCCUUACGAGUAGGGCUACACACGUGCUACAAUGGCGCAUACAAAGAGAAGCGACCUCGCGAGAGCAAGCGGACCUCAUAAAGUGCGUCGUAGUCCGGAUUGGAGUCUGCAACUCGACUCCAUGAAGUCGGAAUCGCUAGUAAUCGUGGAUCAGAAUGCCACGGUGAAUACGUUCCCGGGCCUUGUACUCACCGC
rnacentral:rRNA from 1 species